CCCCCCCACGAGGGCUGACUGACUGCGGGGAAAGGUGGGGAGAGCCCAGGGCAAGGGUCCCGGGAGGAGCGCCAGUAGGGGAGGUUGGCACGGCGCGCGCUCCUGGCCCGCGCCUCCCUCGCCGCCGCCGCACCAUUGUUCCCGGGUCUCUGUCACAGCUACAGAGGGAAACCUUUCUUCACCCGCCGCCUCCAGAGCCAGGCCUGGGAGUCACAGUCGGGACAAUCUCAGCUAAGAAAUCUGCUCCUGAUCGACGCUUCCGCGACUCGAUGGAAAUGAAACGCCAUUAAUAUUUGAAAAGGCAAUUAUUUUCCUGUUGAAUCGAAAACUGUCUUCAUGAAUAAUUUGUAGAGAGUUCUAUUGCCAUUUGAGAAACAUUUUGUUGCUGCUUUGCCUCCUCCUUUUCUUUCCAUUACUUAGGACAUUUGAGGGAGACACCGAACAGGGGUUGCUCUGUGGAGUUUUGUUUUGUUUUGCUUUUUUUUUUUUUUUAACCCAAGCUGUAAUGAAUCAGGACUAAGACCGAAAAGAACGCGCAGAAUUCUGCCUUGAGUCCAUGCAAACCCGAGAGCCAGCCAGGCACACUUGUGCUUCUCUGAUGUAGGUCGAUUGCGCUCAGAAUUUAACCAUUUUUCUGCUUCACAGACUUCAAACAGUGAGCCGGCAAAGAGCAGUAUAAGUUCUUCAAAAUCCCUGUCAUUAAAGAUGAGUUCUUUCUCCAGCCCCGGAUUGUGCAUCCACCUUCCAGGUGCUGGCAACCAGCCCCUGGAGCAGCAAGUCUGAGGGUUGGAAUCACGGAAUACUCAUCCCUCUGUCCCUGGGAAUAGAACUCCGGGAAAGAGGAGCAGAUGAAUGACAGAGAUCUCAGAACGUGUUUUAGAAAACCGUACAAGAUGUUUGCAGACAUGCUAGGGGAUCAAGAACAAGAUCCAAACUGGACUUUGGUCUUGCCUCAGCCUAUGGCAGUCUCCUACCCCUAAACCUCAUGGAGAAGGCAGUUUGUAGCAGGACUCAGCAAGUUUCUUCCCCUGACACUGUAACCACCGGGAACUUUGACUCUUAAAAGGGUUACUGUUCUAAAAAGAAUUGUAGAAAGGAAAGAUACUGCCCGGGAGUACCAAGCUGGACUUCUGGUCUUCGCAUCAUUCUUCCCUUUUCCCGCCUCCAAGAUGGGGGAGGGGAGAAGACGCUGACUUCUUAAACUUCAAGGGAGGGGGGGAGGAGGAGUAAGGAGAGUCAAAGGGUGGCUGCUAAACUAAUUAAUGUAACUUCACAGGCUGUUCUGAAAGUGUGAAAACUUUCUUCUUGCAAUUGUAUUAAUUAGAUGCUUCUGGCCAGAAGAGUUCAACCCCCAGUCUCCUUCACUGAGCUCCUUGGCUUUCCGUUAACUAGAGCUAACAGAUGUGGUUGACACAUGUCCCUAUUUCACUUAACAGCUCAGUAAAUGACAUUUAAGGCAGUGGGUCCCGUUGGGUCUCUACUAAAAUAAGAAUGAGGGUUGCCCAAAACUGUCCCUUCUGUGGAGCCAACAGUACAAAAGCAGGUCAAAAGUAGGCCCCCAAGGCCAUAAAUCCUAAAGGAGGUAUUACGGGUCAGAUGCCCCCUCCGUCCAGGUAAAAAGGGGAAAGAGCUUCCAAAAGUGAUCUGUAAAUGUGAGACAAUAGUCUCCAUUUCCGUUAAGAUUUGGCGGGAGACCAUGCUGUUUUAAAACUGUCUUAAAACUAAACUUUAGGGGCUGGGGAUAUAGCUCAGUACCCAGGGCCCAAUCUUUACAUCCUAAAUCAAAUCAAAUCUCUAAGCUAGGAGCACCCGUGUGCCAACAGGGAUCCCAGAACUCUGGAACCACUCUUCCCACACAGCCUCCGGAAAACGGACUCUGCAGAGGGGAUACCAUAGUUGACUGCAUCCCAUGGCCUUCAGUCUAGAAUUGCCACCACAGCUGGCCCAGGAAGACCAACUGAGGAUAAUUUCAAUUGUGGUUCAGGAAUGACUGCCCCUUGUCUGCCCUAGGAUCUGCUGCUUUCUGAGCCCAGGUCACUGGCGGUUUCUUCUUCAUAGCCAAAAAUGCCAGAGGACAUUUUUGGACCUUCCUGGCAUAGAACAUUAUUUCCAAGACACAGACAGCCUUGUUUUUUUUUUUUUUUUUAUGAGAGUCCUAAAGACUGAAACAACAACAACAAAAACCUUUAAGAGGAGGGAGAAGUUUGAACAAAUUACAUGGAACAAUAACUUGAAACUGAUGGAACUCACCCCCUCCCUGAGGAUAUCAUAAUCCAUGAGUAAUAAAUAAAGGUUUUUGGCUUUG